UGCAGUCGAGCGAACUGAUUAGAAGCUUGCUUCUAUGACGUUAGCGGCGGACGGGUGAGUAACACGUGGGCAACCUGCCUGUAAGACUGGGAUAACUUCGGGAAACCGAAGCUAAUACCGGAUAGGAUCUUCUCCUUCAUGGGAGAUGAUUGAAAGAUGGUUUCGGCUAUCACUUACAGAUGGGCCCGCGGUGCAUUAGCUAGUUGGUGAGGUAACGGCUCACCAAGGCAACGAUGCAUAGCCGACCUGAGAGGGUGAUCGGCCACACUGGGACUGAGACACGGCCCAGACUCCUACGGGAGGCAGCAGUAGGGAAUCUUCCGCAAUGGACGAAAGUCUGACGGAGCAACGCCGCGUGAGUGAUGAAGGCUUUCGGGUCGUAAAACUCUGUUGUUAGGGAAGAACAAGUACGAGAGUAACUGCUCGUACCUUGACGGUACCUAACCAGAAAGCCACGGCUAACUACGUGCCAGCAGCCGCGGUAAUACGUAGGUGGCAAGCGUUAUCCGGAAUUAUUGGGCGUAAAGCGCGCGCAGGCGGUUUCUUAAGUCUGAUGUGAAAGCCCACGGCUCAACCGUGGAGGGUCAUUGGAAACUGGGGAACUUGAGUGCAGAAGAGAAAAGCGGAAUUCCACGUGUA
rnacentral:rRNA from 2 species